AGACAUUUUGGAGGAUGUUGUGGCUUAUUGUUAGCAAACUUGCUUGUUUAGUUCAGUCAGUGCAGCUUAACUCCAGGACAAAAUUUUGUGGAUGCAGUCUUUAUUUCCACAGUGUUUAUUUUUUUUAUCCCCUUCAGAAGGUAUCAGCACUUCCUGGAUGGUUGGGAGCACAGUGACCCUGCACUGUAGCAAUAAGUCAAUCAGUGACCUCGUUCAACUAACAUGGAGAAGGAAUGGGACUUGUCUUUUUAGUUUCAGGCCAUGGAAAACCUCAAACAGCAGCUCUGUCACCUUAAGCAGUAAUCAGAAAACCUCAGACAGCAGAAUUAGGACGUUUCCUGCAGCUGCCCCCCUGAAUCUAAAUAUGUCCACAUCGGAAAGCCAAUUGUAUGCACUAAUCAUAGAGAGAGCCCAGAAAAGUCACACAGGAAACUACACUUGUGAAACUACCACAGACUUUGGAGUCUUUGAACAGAAAUGGGAGCUCGUCAUUACAGGUUAGUUUAUCAACUUUUGAAGUUUUCAGAUUACAAAAACCAAACAAAAUAUUACUGUCACACAUUUAUCAUAACUGAAUGUGGGGAUGGGUAGGCCCCAUAAACAGGAACAGGCUGGAAACAAUGGGACUUUCCAUACAUAGAGCUUAUCUCUCACGUCCUCUCUCUCUCUCUCUUUCUCUUUGUUUCUUUGGUAUCAAAGAUAAGUCUAUCUAAAACAUAUUCCAUGUGAUUAUCAAAAGUUAAGCUUUCAGAGCAGGCUGGGGAGAGUUGAGUUUCCCUUAAUAUACUCGUCUACCUCUAUAUGUACACCUGAACACCUUUGGUUACAGUGGCUUUGCUUUCCUGUUUGUAUACAGAGCAGAGACACUGUGGGUACAUGAGUACUUCUUAAAUGCAAAGCUCCCAAGCUUCAAACUUUGACAUGACGCACAAUUACAAUAAGUCACAUUUUAUAAGAGCCAGAAGUCUUUUGCUUUUACAUUUAAGUGAAAUUAACUGAGUAUUAAAACUGCAGUCAAAUGAGUUCCUUUACUAUUUUACAGAGGAAGCUGUGGAUACAUUGGAAAUCCAUAUUGCUACAAUUAUUGUACCUUGCGUGUGUUUCCUGAUCUUUAUAAUUAGUGCUUUGACCUUUCUGAGGCAACUCUGCAAAAAACAGCCAGAAAAUAUCACCCAGUCUCCGACUGUGACAUCG